GACGAACGCUGGCGGCGUGCUUAACACAUGCAAGUCGAACGGUGACGGGACUGGUUCUGCCGUCCCUGGAUGUGUGGCGACCGGGUGAGUAACACGUGAGUAACCUGCUCCCUUCUUCUGGAUAACCGCAUGAAAGUGUGGCUACUACGGGCUAUUCUGGGUCUGUCGCAUGGUGGGCCUGGGAAAGAUUGCGCCUUCUUUGGUGGUUUUGGUGGGGGCUGGGGUCGCGGCUUACCAGGUGGUUGGUGGGGGGGUGGCCGACCAAGGCGGUGACGGGUAGCAGGGCCGAGGGGGUGAACGGUCACAAUGGGACAACGGCGCGGCGCAGACUACUACGGGAGGCAGCAGUGGGGAAUAAUGCACGAUGAGCGGAGGGCUGAUGAAGCAGCGCCGCGUGGGGGAUGAAGGCCGUCGGGUGGUGAACAUCUUUCGCCUGUGAGGCGGGCCUGCCUCUUUUUGUGCGUGGAUUGACGGUAGCUGGAUAAGAAGCACCGGCUAACUACGUG
rnacentral:rRNA from 1 species